rnacentral:rRNA from 1 species
GAUGAACGCUGGCGGCGUGCCUAACACAUGCAAGUCGAGCGUGAUUUAUGAGGACGAAACUUCGGUCUAGGACUCAUAAUGAAAGCGGCGGACGGGUGAGUAACGCGUAGGCAACCUGCCCUUAACACAGGGAUAGCCUCGGGAAACCGGGAUUAAAACCUGAUGAUGCCAAAGAGUCACAUGGCUCGUUGGCCAAAGAUUUAUCGGUUAAGGAUGGGCCUGCGUCUGAUUAGUUUGUUGGUGGGGUAACGGCCUACCAAGACUACGAUCAGUAGCCGACCUGAGAGGGUGAUCGGCCACAUUGGAACUGAGACACGGUCCAAACUCCUACGGGAGGCAGCAGUGGGGAAUAUUGCACAAUGGGCGAAAGCCUGAUGCAGCAACGCCGCGUGAGCGAUGAAGGCCUUUGGGUCGUAAAGCUCUGUCCUUGGGGAAGAAACAAAUGACGGUACCCAAGGAGGAAGCCCCGGCUAACUACGUGCCAGCCGCCGCCGUAAUAC